rnacentral:RNase_P_RNA from 1 species
GUUUGAGAGCGGGCGGUUGCUGCUUAUAUAGGAGAGGAAAGUCCGGGCUCCACGAAGAGAGGAUGUCAGUUAACGGCUGGCGAGGAAACUCAGGGAAAGUGCCACAGAAAAAAUACCGCCAACAUGUCUGUUGGUAAGGGUGAAAUGGCGAGGUAAAAGCUCACCGUGCUUUUGGAAACGAAGGCAGCAGGGCAAACCCCAUCCGGAGCAAGAUCGAAUAGGAACAUUUUAGGUAUAUACCUCUGUGACUCUUCGCGCAGAUAAUGUUCGGGUUGAUCGCUUGAGACCUGUGGUGACAUAGGUCCUAGAGGAAUAACCGCCGCUGCGCAAGCAGUACAGAACCCGGCUUACAGCUCUCGGCCGAGC